rnacentral:rRNA from 1 species
GGGCGGAGACAUUACUGAUUUGCUUAAUUGCACCACAUGUGUUUUUCUUUGAAACAAACUUGCUUUGGCGGUGGGCCCAGCCUGCCGCCAGAGGUCUAAACUUACAACCAAUUUUUUAUCAACUUGUCACACCAGAUUAUUACUUAAUAGUCAAAACUUUCAACAACGGAUCUCUUGGUUCUCGCAUCGAUGAAGAACGCAGCGAAAUGCGAUACGUAAUAUGAAUUGCAGAUAUUCGUGAAUCAUCGAAUCUUUGAACGCACAUUGCGCCCUCUGGUAUUCCGGAGGGCAUGCCUGUUUGAGCGUCGUUUCUCCCUCAAACCGCUGGGUUUGGUGUUGAGCAAUACGACUUGGGUUUGCUUGAAAGACGGUAGUGGUAAGGCGGGAUCGCUUUGACAAUGGCUUAGGUCUAACCAAAAACAUUGCUUGCGGCGGUAACGUCCACCACGUAUAUCUUCAAACUUUGACCUCAAAUCAGGUAGGACUACCCGCUGAACUUAAGCAUAUCAAUAAGCGAGGAAAAAAAAACCAC